GAUGAACGCUCGCUACAGGCUUAACACAUGCAAGUCGAGGGGAAACGACAUCGAAAGCUUGCUUUUGAUGGGCGUCGACCGGCGCACGGGUGAGUAACGCGUAUCCAACCUUCCCAUCACUUGGUAAUAACCUUGCGAAAGUAAGACUAAUACCCACUGAUAUCCCACGAAGGCAUCGGAAUGGGAUUAAAGAUUUAUCGGUGAUGGAUGGGGAUGCGUCUGAUUAGCUUGUUGGCGGGGUAACGGCCCACCAAGGCAACGAUCAGUAGGGGUUCUGAGAGGAAGGUCCCCCAGAUUGGAACUGAGACACGGUCCAAAAUCCUACGGGAGGCAGCAGUGAGUAAUAUUGGUCAAUGGGCGAGAGCCUGAACCAGCCAAGUAGCGUGAAGGAAGACGGCCCUAUGGGUGGUAAACUGCUUUUAUAAGGGAAUAAAGUGGGUCACGUGUGACUUUUUGCAUGUACCUUAUGAAUAAGAACCGGCUAAUUCCGUG
rnacentral:rRNA from 1 species